AUUGAACGCUGGCGGCAUGCUUUACACAUGCAAGUCGAACGGUAACAGGCCGCAAGGUGCUGACGAGUGGCGAACGGGUGAGUAAUGCAUCGGAACGUGCCCAGUCGUGGGGGAUAACUACUCGAAAGAGUAGCUAAUACCGCAUACGAUCUAUGGAUGAAAGCGGGGGACCGUAAGGCCUCGCGCGAUUGGAGCGGCCGAUGUCAGAUUAGGUAGUUGGUGGGGUAAAGGCUCACCAAGCCAACGAUCUGUAGCUGGUCUGAGAGGACGACCAGCCACACUGGAACUGAGACACGGCCCAGACUCCUACGGGAGGCAGCAGUGGGGAAUUUUGGACAAUGGGCGCAAGCCUGAUCCAGCAAUGCCGCGUGCAGGAAGAAGGCCUUCGGGUUGUAAACUGCUUUUGUACGGAACGAAACGGCUCUGGUUAAUACCCGGGGCUAAUGACGGUACCGUAAGAAUAAGCACCGGCUAACUACGUA
rnacentral:rRNA from 1 species